UCGGUGUUGGAGGAGAGAGGUUUUCUGUGAAGCCGGCGCGUGAGCGAUCCGGUGGAGAGAUCACUAGCGAGAAUGAUGACAUGAGUAGCGACAAAGAGUGUGAGAGACACUCUCGCCGAAAGUCCAAGGGUUCCUGCUUAAAGCUAAUCUGAGCAGGGUAAGCCGGCCCCUAAGCCGAGGCCGAAAGGCGUAGGCGAUGGGAACCAGGUUAAUAUUCCUGGGCCAGGAGGAUGUGACGGAUCGUGAAGGUUGUUCGCCCUUAUCGGAUUGGGCGGGCCGCUGAUCGGUUCCUGGAAAUAGCCCUCCAUUAGAUCGUACCCUAAACCGACACAGGUGGACUGGUAGAGCAUACCAAGGCGCUUGAGAGAACGAUGUUGAAGGAACUCGGCAAAAUACCUCCGUAAGUUCGCGAGAAGGAGGCCCGGGUUCAAGGCAACUUGGAUCCGGGGGCACAAACCAGGGGGUGGCGACUGUUUACUAAAAACACAGGGCUCUGCGAAGUCGCAAGACGACGUAUAGGGUCUGACGCCUGCCCGGUGCCGGAAGGUUAAGAGGAGAUGUUAUCUUCGGAGAAGCAUUGAAUUGAAGCCCCGGUAAACGGCGGCCGUAACAAUAACGGUCCUAAGGUAGCGAAAUUCCUUGUCGGGUAAGUUCCGACCCGCACGAAAGGCGUAACGAUUUGGACACUGUCUCGGAGAGGGACUCGGCGAAAUAGACUUGUCUGUGAAGAUGCGGACUACCUGCACCUGGACAGAAAGACCCUAUGAAGCUUUACUGUAACUUGAGAUUGGUUUCGGGUUUUAUUUGCGCAGAAUAGGUGGGAGGCUAUGAAAAAAUACUUGUGGGUGUUUUGGAGCCAUCAGUGAGAUACCACUCUUGUAAAACUAGAAAUCUAACUUUACACCAUUAUCUGGUUAAAAGACAGUCUCAGGCGGGCAGUUUGACUGGGGCGGUCGCCUCCUAAAAGGUAACGGAGGCGUACAAAGGUUUCCUCAAAUCGGUCAGACAUCGAUUGUAGAGCGUAAAGGCAUAUGGAAGCUUAACUGCGAGACCUACAAGUCGAGCAGAGACGAAAGUCGGUCAUAGUGAUCCGGUGGUCCCGCGUGGAAGGGCCAUCGCUCAACGGAUAAAAGGUACGCCGGGGAUAACAGGCUGAUACUGCCCAAGAGUCCAUAUCGACGGCAGUGUUUGGCACCUCGAUGUCGGCUCAUCUCAUCCUGGGGCUGGAGCAGGUCCCAAGGGUAUGGCUGUUCGCCAUUUAAAGCGGUACGUGAGUUGGGUUCAGAACGUCGUGAGACAGUUCGGUCCCUAUCUGCUGUGGGCGUAGGAUACUUGAGAAGAGCUGCUUCUAGUACGAGAGGACCGAAGUGGACGAACCAAUGGUGUUCCGGUUGUUCUGCCAAGGGCAUUGCCGGGUAGCUAAGUUCGGAAAGGAUAAGCGUUGAAAGCAUCUAAACGCCAAGCCUCCUUCAAGAUAAAGUAUCCCUAUGAGAUGACCUGAAGACUACAGGUUUGAUAGGCUGGGUGUGUAAGCACAGUAAUGUGUUCAGCUAACCAGUACUAAUCCAUCCAUCGGCUUUA
rnacentral:rRNA from 14 species